rnacentral:rRNA from 1 species
AUUGAACGCUGGCGGCAGGCUUAACACAUGCAAGUCGAGCGGGGUGAUGGUGCUUGCACUAUCACUUAGCGGCGGACGGGUGAGUAAUGCUUAGGAAUCUGCCUAUUAGUGGGGGACAACAUCUCGAAAGGGAUGCUAAUACCGCAUACGUCCUACGGGAGAAAGCAGGGGAUCACUUGUGACCUUGCGCUAAUAGAUGAGCCUAAGUCGGAUUAGCUAGUUGGUGGGGUAAAGGCCUACCAAGGCGACGAUCUGUAGCGGGUCUGGGAGGAAGGUCCGCAACACUGGGACGGAGACACGGCCCAGACUCCUACGUGAGGCAGCAGUGGGGAAUAUUGGACAAGGGGGGGAACCCUGAACCAGCCAGGCCGCGUGUGUGAAGAAGGCCUUAUGGUUGUAAAGCACUUUAAGCGAGGAGGAGGCUCUUUUGGUUAAUACCCAAGAUGAGUGGACGUUACUCGCAGAAUAAGCACCGGCUAACGCUGUGCCAGCCGCCGCGGUAA